rnacentral:tRNA from 1 species
GGCGAGUUGGCGGAGUGGUUGACGCACAGGUUUGCAAAACCUGCCACGCGGGUUCGAUUCCCGCACUCGCCU